UCACGUUUGGUCCAGGGGCGACGGAGAUGUGCUCAUUUCUAGUUAACACGAGGUGUAAGAGGGGGUCUGAGUGAGGAAAUCGGCUAAGAAAGAAACAUUCUUGGCCCUGUGGGAUAGUUAUGUUACCUAUUUAAUAUCGACUGGUGAUGUGGUAAAUUCUUGAUUUUUCGCUUUCCACACGCGAAGUUGACGCAGUGAGUUCAGUUGUCUCAGGACGCUGGGACACUGCAGCUGGAGUGUCGGCCCAUAUCCGGAUCUCAGGACAGGCUCCUGAAUGAAGUGAGCGCUGAUGGACCGGAUGAAGAUUAUUAAGAGACGGUUGUCUAUGAGCCUGCGGAGUGCCCGACCAGUGGAUGAAAACUUGUCAGAGCUCACGGAACACACGGCAGCGGAUGAGCCACCAACCUCACAGGAAAAUGAGCCCAUGGUUUGCCCCGUGCCCCCUCCUGCAUCCCACAGUGCCCCGUCGUUCUUGCGACAGUAUGCAGGGGGUUUGGGGCGCGGAGCGAUCCGUAGAGAUGGUCUGGAUCGCCCCUACCUCUCCCUACACAGGACUGGCUCUCUCGGCAUAGUGCAUGAGAAUGUAAAGAUGGGCUCAGAUGGAGAGAGCGAUCAGGCUUCUGGCACUUCGUCUGAUGAGGUGCAGAGUCCCGUCAGAGUCAGAAUGCGUAACAACCAUCCCCGACGUAUCUCCAAUGAGGAUAUUAAUAAGCGUCUGUCACUGCCAGUGGAUAUUCGUUUGCCAGAGGGCUACUUGGAAAGGUUUGCUAUGAAUAGUCCUCCUUUCGACAAACCCUUAAGUCGGAGGCUACGGCGUGCUUCUCUGUCUGAAAUUGGCUUCGGGAAAUUGGAAACAUACAUAAAACUGGACAAACUUGGAGAGGGCACCUAUGCGACAGUGUUCAAGGGGCGCAGUAAACUGACUGAUAAUCUGGUGGCUCUGAAGGAGAUUAGGCUGGAACAUGAAGAGGGUGCACCCUGUACUGCUAUACGUGAAGUGUCCCUCCUGAAGGAUUUAAAACAUGCCAACAUUGUCACUCUUCAUGACAUCAUCCACACAGAGAAGUGCCUCACACUGGUCUUUGAGUACUUGGAAAGGGAUUUAAAGCAGUACAUGGAUGAUUGUGGGAGCAUCAUGUGUGUUCACAAUGUGAAAAUUUUCCUGUUCCAGCUGUUGCGAGGACUAGCAUACUGCCAUCGAAGGAAGGUUCUACACAGAGACUUGAAACCACAGAAUCUUCUUAUUAAUGACAGGGGAGAGCUCAAACUGGCAGACUUUGGUUUGGCUCGAGCAAAGUCUGUGCCUACCAAGACUUACUCUAAUGAGGUGGUCACACUCUGGUACAGACCGCCUGACGUGCUUCUCGGAUCAACAGAGUACUCCACUCCUAUAGACAUGUGGGGAGUUGGCUGUAUAUUCUAUGAGAUGAUCACAGGACGCCCUCUGUUCCCUGGCUCUACUGUGGAGGAUGAACUCCAUCUCAUAUUUCGCAUCCUGGGCACUCCCACUGAGGAGUCCUGGCCAGGGGUCAGUACUAGUGAAGAGUUCAAGACCUAUAACUUCCCUCAAUAUCAUGCCGAACCUCUUGUCAAUCACGCACCCAGGAUAGACAGUGAUGGUCAUGACUUAAUUGCUAAGUUAUUACAGUUUGAAGCAAAGCAACGUGUCACAGCAGAAGAGGCUCUCCAUCACCCUUACUUCAGGUGUCUGGGAGAGCAAGUGCAUCGACUACCUGACACUGCCUCCAUCUUCUCUGUGAAGGACAUCCUACUUCAGAAGGACCCAGGAAAACGUUCCACAGCAUACUCUGAAGCAGCAAUGCCCCAUAAGAUGGGUCCUACCUGUUUGGAAUAUUUCCAGAGAGAAGGAGCAAAAGCCCCACCCUCCCCCUCUACCAGCUGACUCAUUCUACCACUCUGUCAUCACUCCCUUUUGCACAUCUAAAGACUUUUUCUGCUCAGUAAAUAUACUCUUUCAGGUGUUUCUUUUAAAAAGUCAGGGGAGGGUGAAGUUGUUGGCACAGCAUGCCACCAGUGGAAUCUUUCUUUUUCAGGGUUUGUCAUCAUCCCAGGGGAAGUCCCGCCGACAGAGUGUAUUGUUUUAAGCAAGAAGCAUAGUUGAUGACAGCGCACCUAAGGCAUUAACAAGGACCCUCACCAAAAGAACAGCAAAAUAACCUAAUGAUACAAUCAACGAAAGAGAACCUGAAACCAUGUACGCUGAGAAGGGUGAAAGAAAAAACUGAAGUUUGACGGAAUGAAAAAUACACUACGCAAUCAAGAAAAAUAAUGCAAAUACAGCUCAUGAAGGAACAUGAGAAGCAUGUCCCACUGCUCCUUUAUACAUAGGGUCAUUCUUCAAAGAGACUUUUGAUGUGGUGCAUUUGCACAGGAAUCAUGAAGACCUCAGUUGGAUCAUGUAGAUGGAUUUUUGCAGGUGCCAAGAAGACUUUACAGGAAAAGACAUCUUUUUCCCCCACUUAGACAAAAGUGUAAGCUGCUUUUUUCAUAUGGCACAUCAUAUCAUGCCCCUUACCUUGCCCUAAUACAUACACCACUCAUAAAUGUUCAACACUGUGCAAGCCUCUUCAUUCCAGAUGUACAGCAUACCUCAUUCAUGUCCACAUGUACAACUUUGUGCAUGUUUGUGUGUGUAUCAUUAUGCUGGAGAGGUGGAUCAGGAGUAUAGUUACAUAAUGUUUAAAUGUUGCCUUUUGAUAUUUCCAAUAACCCUCAAAAAAAAUCCUGAACCUGCAUCACAUACUGCUGUGUUUGAAUGAAUGGCUGUUGCAACUAACCUUUGGCACCUUAUGGUAGUUAAGCUCAGGCUGUCUUCUUUAAAUACAAAACCAGUGACCUUGGAUGACUGGAACCCAUUCAAAGUAACUGACAUGAAACUGAAUUUCCCAGUGCAGAAUGAGUGAUGCUGCAUGUCUUUUUAUAGUACACACUUGUAAAACUAAUAUGAAGACCUUCCAAUUCAGAUUGUGUAUGAAGAGGACAAACUUGGACACUGUGCAAAUCUAAAGCAUGCACCUUUGGAGGAGCAAAGGUAUUGCACUACUAACUGGCAGAACAGUUAUGGGUAUUACAAGAAUGAAUAGUAUUAUAUUAGCAUAAUGUGCUCACUAGAUUACUGUGGUACGUGAACAGGCUAUAGAACCCUUCUCAGCUCAACCAGACCAAGCCUCACCUAUUAUGUAUGAUUUGAGUAUUGUUUCACCCAGUACCCCAUUCUCUUUCUCCUUCCUUUUGAGGGCACAGUUAACCAAAAGCAUCAAAGCCACUAUAACCACAGAAGAGCUGAUAACUGUUUUUGGGGAAACAGAGCAGAUAAUUGUUGAUAUAAUGCCUUCAAAAAUAUCCCUACUGUGAGUUAUGUGCACUGGCAGACGUCCACUGGAUAGGUUUGCACAGCCAAGGGUUCUGGAUGCUGUAAUCAGAUGAUGAACUAAAAAUCAGGAAAUGGACUGUUUGUAGUCCAGGCUGAAAGCCAUAGAGCUGGCACAACACAUACAGAAAACAUACACAAACAUAACAUCUCACAAAACUGUUAGAUUAGUUCUUUUGCAAUACUUAAUAACUUACAUCAAUUACAUCAGUACCUUUGUCAUGCAAUACUACAGAAUUCUCUAGUACACUAGUACAUGCACAUAAAAACAUCUCCAUUCCACUGCGCAGACAUACUUUCAGUUUCAGAGUCACAUGGAUUGAAACUGUGUAGUUAGUUCUGCAAUUUGUUGAUCUGCAAGAUUACUUGAAUGUGUUUUGUACAUGACAGUAUUUGCAUGGUGAAUGUUCAGUUAUUAACCCAGUGAAUCCACAUUAACAGUGAUGCUUGGGUUUGUUUGUUUGUUUUUCUUUUUUAAUGCAUUUUUAAGGAUUUAAAUCUUUCUUUGUAUAAGAUAGAUGAUAAUUAUGAACAAUGACCAUGUUGAAAUCCAUGUCUUCAAUAAUAGUACAACAGUAGUAUAUCUUACAUAUGGCUUGCCUUUUUUAAUAUUUCAAGAAAACAUGCCAAAUGAAAAACAAGCCAUGUGGAAGUAUCAUUGAAGGUUUAUUUAUUUACACUUAAGUUUACAAAACCUGUAACCCGAGGCAAAAAUUGAGUAGUCAGAGUAAGAAGGAGCAUGUUUGAGACUCUUAACACCUAAAACAGUUAUACCUACAGCGUAGUCCUUCCAUAUAGAACUAUAAGACUCCUUUAUUCCUACCUGUGAAUCACAUUUUGAGCAAGCAUUUUUGUAAUGGUUAAGAUGGAAGUUGUAUGACCACCAUAUGAACAAAGGUUUAUGAAGGUUAGAGAGCCUUGUAUAAAAUUAGUUUACCUUUUACUUGAAUUUCAGAAAGUUUUGUUUACCACUUGUUUUAAUAAAACCCACCUUUUGUUUUCAGUUUCCUUGCAUUAGUGGCUAUAGCUACUACAGAAAUCAGACAUUUGGGUAACAUUUUAUAUGAAGGGAGUAUUUAUAACAUAUUCCUAACAUCUUGCAUAAAUACUACAUAAUGCAUUCAUGGAUUAUGGAUUAUUAUUAACAAUGAUGAACUAUUCAUGUUGUUUCUCACAGUAAUUUUAAAUAGACUUUUAAAAGUCUCAAAUUUAAAAAAAAUUCCAUAUCUCCAAUUUUCAGUGCAGUUCAUCUGUCUGAAUACAGUACAGUAGCUAUUAUUUUCAUGUUACACAUGAAUACUUCAUGAAUGGUGAUGUAAGAUGUCACAAAUGGUGAUGUAAUUUAUUGUGUAAGAUGUUAAAGUAGCUAUUAUUUUGAAUGUGUUGUGUACAUACCCUUCAAAUGUUACUGUAAUGUGUAGGUACAUGCUUUAGUGUUAAUGUUAUGAAAACUGGUUGAAAGCCACCAUCUGGUUACUUGUUUUUGUAUUUUGUUUUGUAGAAUGUUUAAGAAUGUGAUGAGACACCAAAGGAGGGCUUCCUUAGAAACAAUAACAACUACAGUAACAAAUGAUGGUCUUUGACAAUGAUUGGAGCUAAUUUCAGAUUUAUUGUUGUCUUAUAUUCUUGGUUUAGGGAAACUAAUGCACAUUUUAAUCCACAAUUAGGUGUUUCAGAAAUACAAAGUGACAACUUCAGUAUUUCUUAUUCUAAAACAAUGAAACAAGGGACUGAGGAUUUCUUACAGUUCCCUGAAAAAAAACUCAGUACAAGAUCCAGCAGUCUGUACAAUAAUGCUGGUAUAAAAUGUUUACAAUGUUUAAGAAUAGUUUAAUUCUUUAAAAAAAAUAUUGCUGAAUUAAUUGAGAAUGGAAAUUGAGCUUAAAUUUGAUAUGAACACAACUGGCUAUACAGUUUCUUGAUUGUGGAUUUAAAUACGUGUGUCCUCUGUUUUUAUAUAUUGAGUUAACUAGCCAGACUGUCAUGCACAUUGAAAUUCAAUUUUAAUGCUGAGCAUUUAAACUGUUUUAGUAUUUCUUCUUUGCUUUUAUAAUCACGUCUUACUUUAGUAACUUCAAUAUCUUGUUAAACACACUAAUUAUUUAAUUAAGGCUACUGGCUCUUAAUAUUCCUGUUUGAUGAAUGCAUAGUCCUCAGAAAGUUCUGACCAACAGAGAUUUUAUCUGCACUAAUACUAAUACGGAAACUGGAAGUGCACUUUCACAUUAAAUUAACACCAAAUUUGGAAUUUUAAAAAUAAUUUUCAUUUAAUGGCAUUUUAAGUAACAAAUGAUUGAUUAUUGUAAAUUAUGCCAAAUGCUCAAGUUUCAGAGACUGGUUGAUAAUUGUUUAUAAUAGUGAUUUACUGAAGCAAUCUGUUGAAAUUCAAAUUAAUCUACAAGUCAAUCUCUUAGAACAUGAGGAGAAAAUGUUGAUCACAUUAGACAGGUAUUAUCAGUUUGCAUGUACCCUGCUUCCAGUCAGACCUUUUGGCAUCAUUUACUUUAGUUUAUCUGUUCAGUUGAGUGUUUAGUUGCCUUCAUUCUUGUUGCUCAUGAGCAUUGAACUGUGAUGGAGAAAAUGCUUUGUAGACACAUCUGUAGUUUGAGCCAUUCCUCAUUUUUCAUUUUAGAUGAAAAGUGGAAUACAUUUUUAAAGAUUACUUUCUUAUUGUACAUUAUUUCAAGGAAACAUUUCUGAUAGAAGAUUUCCUGUAUUACAACAUCAACUCAUUUUAAUUUGAAUCCUUACCUAUAUUUUUGUCAACAUCAUUGAUAAUAUGGGUACCUCUAAGCAUGUUGGGAAUGCUGGAUACUUUAAUCUUUCCCAGUUUCCUCUGGGAUGUAAUAUUGUGAAAAUGACAAUAAUGGAGGUGGGGUGUCAGACCUCCAUAAUAUUGAUCCCCUCACUUUUUCAACUAAGCUGAACUUUUAGUUUUGAAAAUGUUAAAUUUUAUUUUCUAUAAGUUUUUUUUAGCAUCCUUUUCUAGAUGAAGUUUCACAAAUCUAGUAGGCAGGCUGUUCUGGAAUGAAAUUGACUACUUAUACAUUUCUCACAUUAGACAAGAAUAGUUAAUCAAAAAAGUCUACAAACGCCUUAUGAUCAUUUUUGAAGCAUGACAACUCCCACUUUUAAUUUGGCACUGCAGUUGGGUUUGUAAAUAGAGAACAAAUGAUCUGUAUAUCUAGCUACAAAGAUAAGAUUGGAGCAUCUAGUAGCACAUAACAUCUACUAGAUCUGUUGGGGGAUGGGGGGAAGGGGGGUUAGCCCUCCGUUAUCUCCUACAGUGACACAUGGAGUGAAUGUCUGUCUGUUUCCAUUUCCUUAAACAGUGCCAGUUCCUAAAACAUGUAAAAGCAGCAAGUGGUAAUGUUGAGACAUCAGGACCGAAUUUUCCAGUAGCCACUGAUCUUUCAUGACAAUGUAGUGACAUAAAAAAAUUCUUAACUUCACCUAAAGUACAUGCACUUGGUUUGUGUAGACUAGGUACUUAUCUUUUUUUGAAUGCAUGUGCCAAUGUCCAAUAAAAUUUCUGCAAAAGCA